rnacentral:lncRNA from 1 species
GCUUAUCACAAGAUUUCUGCAUAGGCUGGAAAAUGGAUGGACCACUUUCUCAGCGGUAGUCUAACACUCUUUCACUGAUGUUUUUUAAAACAGUCUGUAUUUUGCUGUUAUGUGGACAUGCCGCAAUUUGCUUUUCAGGGUCUGCCUUCCAGUGGUGCAAAGUCUCUUAGCACAUGCAACAGAGGAGUGGGUGCUCUUGCCAAUGGGAGCCAUUGGUUUCCUGUAUUACCAAUGCACCCAAACUAUUGGCUGUCUAAACUGGUGGAAGCGAAGAACAGCUUACCUUAAGCCUUGUGCGGAUGAAGGAAUCGCGACUACGGGACCGAAGCUGGCCCUAACAGUUGUUUUCCUGACAAAGCAGAUAGGAGUGCUCAGGCCUGCCAGUGGCACUGUCCUCCAGCAAUGCGAAGCCCCGUGCGACGUGAUGCAGCUGUGCUGGAGGAAUGCGAGCCCAUGCUGA